rnacentral:tRNA from 1 species
GAAAUCCUCAUGUUAACGGUUCCAAUUUCCAAUCCAGAUUGGUAUGGAAAUCCUCGUUCCAAUCU